rnacentral:lncRNA from 1 species
AGGCUGAAGACCCACAGACUUUUUCCUUCCUCCUCGGGAUCUCACCUCAGUGUCUGGACAUGCUUGGCCACUAGGCAUGACUAGCUGAGAGAAUAAGAUGGGGCCCAGUGAGCACCUGUUUAAGAGGCAUCUCAACUCUGGAUAACUACGUGGGUCUCAGACUUUAACCCCAUCCUUUUGGUUGGAAGCCAAUUAACUUCUUUAAAGCAAUCAAUGCCAGAAGCAUCGUUUAUUGUGUUCCAAGGCUUGGAAAUUCCUUCCCUAAUGACAUAGUAGAAACUCUGUCGCCACAGUUAAGAGUAGGCUAGAGACAAUUACUAUAUUUAAGACCUGCAUUGCAGGUUAUCAUACCCACAUCUGCAAGCUAUUCCUUUUGUAAAGCAUUUGGGGUAAUUUGCCACAGAAAACUCAUUGGAAAGUGCCAGCAACUACAUGAGGAUCUGUGACUGAAACUAUUCGACGUGGCUAGCAGAAGACAGACGUAUAACUUUCUUUUCAGCAGCUCCACACCCACCCCUGCUUCUUGGAGCCAGGCUCCUCUUAUCGACACAGGAAACCUAUAUUUGGGCUGGAUUGAAGGGGUGGUGAGGAACAAAUCCUCCAGCAGCCACCCACUCACUGGCCUGUGAAAAGAGAGAGGCCGUCCAGAGAGUUGGUCAGCCUGAGUGCUAUCCUCUGCACAAUCUCCCUGACAUUUAUAAAAGAAGAAAAUGAAAGAACAGGACUUCGGCACAGGAUGGCAUUUUCUAACAGAAAUCGGAGAACAUGCUGAGUUCCACUGAAUAUAGGACUGCAUCUGUGGCAUAUGUGGCCUUGAACAAGUGACAACUGCCCUGGGUCCUGGCUCCUUCAUG